UCUUUUGCUUGCUUUUCUCACUCCAUUGGCCAGGCUGGAGGCCAGUGGCACCGUCACAGCUCCCUACAACCACCAACCCCCGAGCUCAAGCGAUGCUCCUGCCUCUGGAGUAGCUGUGAGUUCAGGCGUGAGAUGCCACGCCAGGUAGGGACCGUUAUGAAAAAAUACUGAGUGCAGCCCUCUCAGGUUUUCUUCUGAUUGUGGCUUUCCUCCAUCAGAUCUUAACCUUAAUAUUCGCAUUGAGCAAACAACAAAUAUGAAGCGUUUUAGGCAGGGAAAGGCCGAAUUUCAGUGCCUUUGUGUCAUAUCUGGAAGAAAUCAAAAGAAACGAAAACCAGAAGUUGAUUCUUUCCAAGCAUAAUAGAAGGAGACCCUAAGAACUCAACGUCUGGAAGCCACGAUGGAAACUUCUUGUGGUUAUUAUCUGACACUUUUCCAGUCUUUUGCUUUUCAAGUCCUACGCAGUAUUCUGAAGAAUGUGUAUCUCGCAUUAGUACCAAGUGUCUCCUGCUCAGAGCAGUCUCCAUGCUCCAAAAUACUGACCACUACCACCAGCAUGUUCAGGGAGCGGCUCAGAAAAUGAAAGUUGCCUCCUGAAAAUUACUACAAAAAGGCCUUUCAGGAAGGGGGUGUAGCUCAGCGGUAGAGCACAUGCUUUGCAUGUAUGAAGCCCCGGGUUCGAUCCCCGGCACCUCCAGCUGGUGAUUUUGCUCUGACAGUGUUCAAUCCUAAUUCUCAAGCAACGGACUUCUGCCUCCUAACAUUUUUCUAUCCUGUUUUCUGCUCAUAUCGAGAGUACAAAUGUGGCCCAAUGCGUUGCCUUGAACUGUCUCCAAUCUCUAUGUUGUGCGCCUCGACGUCACCUAAGGCGAUUGUGACGGCAGAAGGAAGACAAAAAAGAAAUGAGGAGGAAAAAAGAACGGGAGCCCAACGGGGUCUCUUGGACCCAAACAAGAGCCUGCACAUCCGCAGGCGGCUCGCGUUCGCUCCCAUUCUGUACUAUGAUAAAAGAGACGGAAAGACAAAGAAGAAGAAGGGAGAAAAAUGCCCCGCGGACGCUUUUUUUUUUUUUUUUUAAGUUAUUUUUGUUUUCUGGGCCGAAGAGCAGAGUGAAAGCAUCUGUCCACCGAUUUCUCCACCUGCGCAGAGAGCCAGACACAAGUGCCAUCCAGUGCUGAGACAGGGACAGCGCAGCUCUCCAGCCGCUGGAUAUGGGAGGGGAAGGACGCCGGACAAUCGACCGAAGACUGCCGGGGAAUCAGAGGCCUGCAACAUGCGAGGGGCAGAAACCAACACGGAUCAACAUCCCCUACUCAUAUUCCGUAAGACUGACUCAUAUUACCGUAUUUCCUCAGCCACUCCAUUUUCCUCGAUAAAAUAAAACAUUGCCUGGGUACUUCUGGUAACAGCAAACGGAGGCCCCACACGAAAAAGUAGGAAAAGAUUUUCUGUCACAAUGGAAAAUACGUGCAGAGUAACAGCUGGAACUCCCAAGAAAUCCUGUGCACUCAUGGUACCUUUGAAGGGUUUCCAGUGGUGUAUGGUUUCCAAGGACACCAGUAAGAAGAGGUCCACGAUAUUCCCCAACUUUAAAAUUUUCUUUGUGUCAAGGUGAAUUAUGUUGACCUCCAUUUCUCUGUCAUCCAGAGGGUGAUUCGUGUUUAUCCACUUGAGGCUAUUUUCUGCUUAGGAUUAUCCACCUAUACUUUCUAAGCAGUCCCAGCAGUCGUUAACAUGGACCAGCACAAGGGAAGCAAAUAGUAUUCUUGGCCUCCAGCCAAUUUCUAGUUGUAAAUAAAAUCAUCAAAAACCAUAGAACUGCGUGGCCCAAGUCUGAUUUCAGGUGGGAAGCUAAAAGGCUCAAGUCCUUUUCUGUUUCUUCUAACUCCUCCUAACCAGGGUGCAGAAGCCCUGCAAGCUUUCCCUAAAAGAUUUCACUGCCAGUGGUUGAUGAUUUGAUGUGUUUGGUGGUCGCUUUUUCCAUUAGAGACCUACAAACUCGGAACUUAAACCAUUUAACCACAAACACAUGGCAAAUGAUGAAAAGAUAGCGGUUACCUCCGCUGAAAUUUAGUGGAAGUAACAAGUAUUUCUCUGGGUCCUCUGAGGAACUUUCUGGUCUGAGAAGCACACUCUGAACUCCAGGGACCAAGAUCAGGAUAGGACAAAGCUCAUUUCUUUGUUUCUCAUAAAUAAAAGUAAUGAACCUUUAUUCUUCCCAUCCCAAUGGAUCCUUUUCUACCUCACUGUGCUUACUCUGCAGGAAUAACCUCCUUUAAAGCUACGGAUA